rnacentral:rRNA from 1 species
UACGGAGGAUGCGAGCGUUAUCCGGAUUUAUUGGGUUUAAAGGGUGCGUAGGCGGACAGUCAAGUCAGCGGUAAAAAAUGCGGUGCUCAACGCCGUACAGCCGUUGAAACUGGCAGUCUUGAGUGGGCGAGAAGUAUGCGGAAUGCGUGGUGUAGCGGUGAAAUGCAUAGAUAUCACGCAGAACUCCGAUUGCGAAGACAGCAUACCGGCGCCCUACUGACGCUGAGGCACGAAAGCGUGGUAGGUCGAAC